UUUAAAAAAAAAAAAAAAAAUUUUAAAAACGGGAGGAGGAACCUCCCUCCCAUUCUCUCUUUUCUCUCCUCUCCUUCCCUCUCUUCUUCUUCUUUCUUUUUCCGGUGACCGGCCGGCGACCUCCCAAGCAGCUCCCCACCCGGUCGGCGACCCUCCAGCGAGGCGACGGCAAGAGCCACCAGAAACGGCGACAAGAGAGGGAGGAGAGAGAGAAAACGCGCGCACAAU
rnacentral:misc_RNA from 1 species